rnacentral:tRNA from 1 species
GCGGCAGUUUGAUUUGACACGCCAGACUUAGGAUCUGGUGCCGCGAGGCAUGGGGGUUCGAGUCCCUUCAUCCGCA